rnacentral:rRNA from 1 species
GUUAUAUGGUCAAGUGAAGAAGCGCAUACGGUGGAUGCCUUGGCAGUCAGAGGCGAUGAAAGACGUGGUAGCCUGCGAUAAGCUUCGGGGAGUCGGCAAACAGACUUUGAUCCGGAGAUCUCUGAAUGGGGGAACCCAACCAGCACAAGCUGGUUAUCUUGCACUGAAUACAUAGGUGCAAGAGGCGAACCAGGGGAACUGAAACAUCUAAGUACCCUGAGGAAAAGAAAUCAACCGAGAUUCCCUUAGUAGUGGCGAGCGAACGGGGACUAGCCCUUAAGUGGCUUUGAGAUUAGCGGAACGCUCUGGAAAGUGCGGCCAUAGUGGGUGAUAGCCCUGUACGCGAAAAUCUCUUGGCCAUGAAAUCGAGUAGGACGGAGCACGAGAAACUUUGUCUGAAUAUGGGGGGACCAUCCUCCAAGGCUAAAUACUACUGACUGACCGAUAGUGAACCAGUACCGUGAGGGAAAGGCGAAAAGAACCCCGGAGAGGGGAGUGAAAUAGAUCCUGAAACCGUAUGCGUACAAGCAGUGGGAGCAGACUUCGUUCUGUGACUGCGUACCUUUUGUAUAAUGGGUCAGCGACUUAUUUUCAGUGGCGAGCUUAACCGAAUAGGGGAGGCGUAGCGAAAGCGAGUCUUAAUAGGGCGUCUAGUCGCUGGGAAUAGACCCGAAACCGGGCGAUCUAUCCAUGGGCAGGUUGAAGGUUAGGUAACACUGACUGGAGGACCGAACCGACUACCGUUGAAAAGUUAGCGGAUGACCUGUGGAUCGGAGUGAAAGGCUAAUCAAGCUCGGAGAUAGCUGGUUCUCCUCGAAAGCUAUUUAGGUAGCGCCUCAUGUAUCACUGUAGGGGGUAGAGCACUGUUUCGGCUAGGGGGUCAUCCCGACUUACCAAACCGAUGCAAACUCCGAAUACCUACAAGUGCCGAGCAUGGGAGACACACGGCGGGUGCUAACGUCCGUCGUGAAAAGGGAAACAACCCAGACCGUCAGCUAAGGUCCCAAAGUUAUGGUUAAGUGGGAAACGAUGUGGGAAGGCUUAGACAGCUAGGAGGUUGGCUUAGAAGCAGCCACCCUUUAAAGAAAGCGUAAUAGCUCACUAGUCGAGUCGGCCUGCGCGGAAGAUGUAACGGGGCUCAAACCAUACACCGAAGCUACGGGUAUCACGCAAGUGAUGCGGUAGAGGAGCGUUCUGUAAGCCUGUGAAGGUGAGUUGAGAAGCUUGCUGGAGGUAUCAGAAGUGCGAAUGCUGACAUGAGUAACGACAAUGGGUGUGAAAAACACCCACGCCGAAAGACCAAGGUUUCCUGCGCAACGUUAAUCGACGCAGGGUUAGUCGGUCCCUAAGGCGAGGCUGAAAAGCGUAGUCGAUGGAAAACAGGUUAAUAUUCCUGUACUUCUGGUUAUUGCGAUGGAGGGACGGAGAAGGCUAGGCCAGCUUGGCGUUGGUUGUCCAAGUUUAAGGUGGUAGGCUGAAAUCUUAGGUAAAUCCGGGGUUUCAAGGCCGAGAGCUGAUGACGAGUUACCCUUUGGGUGACGAAGUGGUUGAUGCCAUGCUUCCAAGAAAAGCUUCUAAGCUUCAGAUAACCAGGAACCGUACCCCAAACCGACACAGGUGGUUGGGUAGAGAAUACCAAGGCGCUUGAGAGAACUCGGGUGAAGGAACUAGGCAAAAUG